rnacentral:lncRNA from 1 species
CUCCACAGGCAUCUUCACUGAAAGCUUCAAAUCACAUUUAAAAGUCAUCCUUUAAAUACAGUAUGUGGAAAAAUUCAUCAGAUUUCUGUUGGAGUCUUCUCUAAAUGUUGCAACUUUCAGUUCCUGAGAGAGAAGUGGACUUUCCCAGGGAACCUGGCACCGCCAACUCGAGACAUGCUGCUGCUGCUGCUGGCCCUGCUCUUGUGGAUGGAGGGGGCCAAGGGCCAGAGGGAACCCUGCGAGGAUCACUCACUGCAGGUGCAGGGGUUGGUGACUGUGCGGGAGGGCCUGUCCCUGCACAUGCCCUGCUCCUUCUCCCACCCCCAGGUUGGCUGGAAUGACUCGACCCCAGCUCAUGGCUAGGGUUCCAGGAAGGGGCCAAAAUAUACCAGGAUGCUCCUGUGGCCACGUACAAGCCAGAUCGUGAAGUGCAGAAGGAGACCCAGGUCUGAUUCUACCUCCUUGGGGACCCCCCCCACCCUACAAUUGCUCCCUCAUGAUCAGGGAUGCCAGGAAGAGGGACAAUGAAACAUACUUUUUUCAGGUGGAGAGAGGGUAUUAUGUGAGAAAUUCUUACAGAAAAAACCAGCUUUCAUACACGUGGAGGCUCUGACGCAGACACCUGACACCCUGAUCCCAGGGACCCUGGAGUCUGGCCAGUCCAGGAACCUGACCUGCUCUGUGCCCUGGGAACUGGACAGUCGACAAAUAAACACAAAGUUCUUCUUGUCCCCAAAUCCUUUCCUCCUCGGCAGACCGUAUGUUUUCACCCCUGUAGGUUAUAUGGCUGCUUUCGUAGCCUGACUCUUGAAUCCCAUUUUAAGAGAUCAGAUCCCUCUCAGAGUUGGGUGAUUUAUGAGCUCAGAACCGGGCCCCGGUUCAGCACCACAGACAGCACCA